GGCAGAUUAGGUAGUUGGUGAGGUAAAGGCUCACCAAGCCUUCGAUCUGUAGCUGGUCUGAGAGGACGACCAGCCACACUGGGACUGAGACACGGCCCAGACUCCUACGGGAGGCAGCAGUGGGGAAUAUUGCACAAUGGGCGAAAGCCUGAUGCAGCGACGCCGCGUGAGGGAUGACGGCCUUCGGGUUGUAAACCUCUUUCAGUAGGGAAGAAGCGAAAGUGACGGUACCUGCAGAAGAAGCGCCGGCUAACUACGUGCCAGCAGCCGCGGUAAUACGUAGGGUGCAAGCGUUGUCCGGAAUUAUUGGGCGUAAAGAGCUCGUAGGCGGUUUGUCGCGUCUGCUGUGAAAUCUGGGGGCUCAACCCCCAGCCUGCAGUGGGUACGGGCAGACUAGAGUGCGGUAGGGGAGAUUGGAAUUCCUGGUGUAGCGGUGGAAUGCGCAGAUAUCAGGAGGAACACCGAUGGCGAAGGCAGAUCUCUGGGCCGUAACUGACGCUGAGGAGCGAAAGCAUGGGGAGCGAACAGGAUUAGAUACCCUGGUAGUCCAUGCCGUAAACGUUGGGCACUAGGUGUGGGGAACAUUCCACGUUUUCCGCGCCGUAGCUAACGCAUUAAGUGCCCCGCCUGGGGAGUACGGCCGCAAGGCUAAAACUCAAA
rnacentral:rRNA from 1 species